rnacentral:rRNA from 1 species
AACGCUAGCUACAGGCUUAACACAUGCAAGUCGAGGGGCAUCAGGAAGAAAGCUUGCUUUCUUUGCUGGCGACCGGCGCACGGGUGAGUAACACGUAUCCAACCUGCCCUUUACUCGGGGAUAGCCUUUCGAAAGAAAGAUUAAUACCCGAUAGCAUAAUGAUUCCGCAUGGUUUCAUUAUUAAAGGAUUCCGGUAAAGGAUGGGGAUGCGUUCCAUUAGGUUGUUGGUGAGGUAACGGCUCACCAAGCCUUCGAUGGAUAGGGGUUCUGAGAGGAAGGUCCCCCACAUUGGAACUGAGACACGGUCCAAACUCCUACGGGAGGCAGCAGUGAGGAAUAUUGGUCAAUGGGCGCUAGCCUGAACCAGCCAAGUAGCGUGAAGGAUGAAGGCUCUAUGGGUCGUAAACUUCUUUUAUAUAAGAAUAAAGUGCAGUAUGUAUACUGUUUUGUAUGUAUUAUAUGAAUAAGGAUCGGCUAACUCCGUGCCAGCAGCCGCGGUAAUACGGAGGAUCCGAGCGUUAUCCGGAUUUAUUGGGUUUAAAGGGAGCGUAGGUGGACUGGUAAGUCAGUUGUGAAAGUUUGCGGCUCAACCGUAAAAUUGCAGUUGAUACUGUCAGUCUUGAGUACAGUAGAGGUGGGCGGAAUUCGUGGUGUAGCGGUGAAAUGCUUAGAUAUCACGAAGAACUCCGAUUGCGAAGGCAGCUCACUGGACUGCAACUGACACUGAUGCUCGAAAGUGUGGGUAUCAAACAGGAUUAGAUACCCUGGUAGUCCACACAGUAAACGAUGAAUACUCGCUGUUUGCGAUAUACAGUAAGCGGCCAAGCGAAAGCAUUAAGUAUUCCACCUGGGGAGUACGCCGGCAACGGUGAAACUCAAAGGAAUUGACGGGGGCCCGCACAAGCGGAGGAACAUGUGGUUUAAUUCGAUGAUACGCGAGGAACCUUACCCGGGCUUAAAUUGCAGUGGAAUGAUGUGGAAACAUGUCAGUGAGCAAUCACCGCUGUGAAGGUGCUGCAUGGUUGUCGUCAGCUCGUGCCGUGAGGUGUCGGCUUAAGUGCCAUAACGAGCGCAACCCUUAUCUUCAGUUACUAACAGGUCAUGCUGAGGACUCUGGAGAGACUGCCGUCGUAAGAUGUGAGGAAGGUGGGGAUGACGUCAAAUCAGCACGGCCCUUACGUCCGGGGCUACACACGUGUUACAAUGGGGGGUACAGAAGGCAGCUAGCGGGUGACCGUAUGCUAAUCCCAAAAGCCUCUCUCAGUUCGGAUCGAAGUCUGCAACCCGACUUCGUGAAGCUGGAUUCGCUAGUAAUCGCGCAUCAGCCACGGCGCGGUGAAUACGUUCCCGGGCCUUGUACACACCGCCCGUCAAGCCAUGGGAGCCGGGGGUACCUGAAGUACGUAACCGCAAGGAUCGUCCUAGGGUAAAACUGGUGACUGGGGCUAAG